rnacentral:misc_RNA from 1 species
GAAAUGUAUAUCACCAUGACCCAACUGAUGUGAAUGAGCAUGUACUCUUUUAAAAUGAUAUUUUCACUGGGGACUGUAUGUUAUUAUUCUAGGCAUACACGAACCAUAAGUGAAUUAGUGUGGAUUAAAGACGAGGAUGGUUUUGAUGAACAUUGCUAAAGUGCUCAGUUCUUUAUAUAUGUGCGUAUUAGCAGAACAGAAGGCUAAUCCUGUUCAUUUUAGAG